AUUAUGGGCAAAAUUCACCUCUUCCCUCGCUUUCCCUUCUGCAAAGGGCACGAUUUUCCUUAUCCGCAAUUCUUUCGUUCACCUCCCCUUUUUCAUCUUCUCUACAUUAGGGCAAAAGUGCAAUCGGGACAGGGAAGGUUCAUACUUGCACAACAAUAUGGAGCGUGGGUUUGUUUCAGUGGAUACAAGCAUAUUAUCAAGCGAUAUUAAUACAAUGUGACAAGCAACUACUCAACACUUCUGUAUAUUUACGUAAUUACCACAGAGCUACCUACUAUAUUAUGUAAUGUUUUAAGUCAUCAUAUAUGUGGUUGUGUAACUUUAGUUUGAUGUGGAUCUGAAUUGAUAAUGUUUGUUGCUAUGGAUAUUGAUAUUGGAAUUUCAUUCA